GCGGAAACGGAGGACGGCAUCGGGCGGAGCCUUCUGGAACGGUAAAGCGCAUGUACCGAGGGAUGGUUCAAGCGUUUACGCGCCACACAGUGGCGCUCAGAGGCGGUGGAGGACUGGUGGAUGCACAUGGGAACACCUGACCAGGUCCAAGUGUAACGGGUGGGGAGUGCACCCCGAGGCCGUACAGAAAGAGGAUGCAAAUGGUAAACGAAGCUCAGAUCGUGACUCGCGCCAGUGCAUAAAACGGGUCUACAACAGCGAGAAGCCGCGAAACAGAGACUUCAACGCUACGAUCAGUAUCCUUCGGCUGGUGACCAUGGGGCUGGAGAGACAUGAGCAACCGGCGUAUUCAAAGCCAGAGGCGAGAGGGGAAAUGGAAGCGAUAGCGGUAAAAGCCCGCCAAGGCCGUCGUUUGCGGUAACGGUGAGUGGCACGAACUUUCGAGUAUAUGCCUGAGAUACGUAAUUAGACCUGUUGCAUUUAAGUCUGACGUAGGUCCAGGCGGAUCUCCACCGGCUGCCCCAACUUGAAUUACUCUACAGAUCUUGCGCUAUCUGCAACAGCGAAUAAAUGGAGACCCCAGCGCCGCACCCAUACAAUGUGCUCUACAGAGGCUGCGCCAUCUGUAACAAGAAAUGACCUGCGUGAUUGACCGCUGUACCGAUAUCCAAACCGAUGUAAGCAUCGUCAAGAAACUGAGCGAUCCACCGCGGAAGUUUUUGUAGAAGAGCCGGUCUUGCGUAUCGCCUGUCGGCAAAAAUCAUAAUGCCAUAGUCCUGCUUGUUGCGUAUAACACGGCCUACGCACUGGGCCGCCUGCCUCAUUGCGUCGAAAACAAGAAACUCAUCUUCCCGUAUCUGAUAACGUUGCUGCAGAUAUGAGAGACGUGCCUUCAGCAGACGAGAUUCACUGUAUUGAAAAGGAACACCGAAAAGUAAUGCGCACCGCCCAUAGUGAUUAUCAAAAUCUAUGCCCUCUGCUGCGCGGCCGCGAGCGACCGAUAGCAGCACAGCGCCCCUGCCCGCGUCACAGGCCAUGCGAUAAUGUUUAAUCGCAAGACCAGCCUCGACAGCGUCCUGAGUUUCAACAAAUGUGAGCUUCAGUUUCUGUAGACGCUGGAGGAUAUCGCUCUCUACCCAUUGGGAGACAAUGUCAUGCAUGAAUUCAUAGCUGGGGAAAAAGCAAACAACGCCAUCCGGGACAAUAUCGGCCAUAUUGAGGAGCAAUUCUCCAUAGUUCCGAGCAAUCGAUAUUUCCUUCCUCGUGCUGUACUGCGAGCUGAUGGGGGACUGAUCGACCCCCCGCGUCACAAUCAAGGGACACAGACACGCCCGCUCUAAGGACAUUGGAAAUGAUUCUGCGAUCGCUGCCCUGAAAGUCAGCAACCGCGGAUAGAACCACAGAGGGCUCAACGUUCCAGAUGUGAUCACCACGCUUUUGAAUCGAGUCAAGACCGGUCGCAUGGCAAGUGAUGCAUCCAGGCACGCAAGGUGAAAAAUUCUCUCCUCCGGGUCAUUGAUCACCACAAAGCCUGCAGAAUAGGUUCCUAGGAGCGUGCAGAAAUCACUCAGCUUUUGCAAGGGAGAGAAGGCUGCAACAUCAGAUAUUUCCAGUGCCCAUAGCAAUGAAACGAGUCUGUCUGAGGCGAGCUGGAGCGCUCUUCGCUCUGUGCUGAGUCUAUGGCAUACAGCAAGCGCCAUGCGCUGCGCUGUCUCUUCCAUGAUAAGAUUGGAAUCGACCAGUUCCUGCACGUAACUCAAGAUCUGGCGCAAAAACUGUAGGAAUCCAACAGUCGAUUGGAUUUCUGGACACAGGGAUAUUCGCAUUUGAUCAGGUAUCAUAGCACUGGCAUCCGGCGCUGACUCCACAACCAGCGAUGGCAGUGCGCUUGGAUCGAGGCCAGCUAUCUGCAUAUCCCGAAGCUGCGAUUCUCGGUCCGCGGUGCUGAUUCCCCAUGCAAGACGCUCAUAUUCUUGGUGGAGUCGUUCCACACCGCGUCGUUUCAUCUCAUGGACUCUAGAAGAGAGUGUAUUCAGAUUCCGAGCCGCGCACUGGAGUAGCUGGUCAUUCAGCUGUACGCUGAAGGCCUCGGUACAAACAUUGUCAAUAUUAUGAGCUUCAUCGAAAACUAUGAUCGUAUCGGGACCGAAGUCGCUGCUCACAACACGGCUUACUCGAGGAUCCAGAAUGUACUGAUAACUAUAAACCACAAUAUGAGCAAAGGGAACCAUCUGACGCGCCAGAAAGUAGGGACACCAUCCUACGCGAGCGCCAAACUCUCGCAAGUCCGAAAUAGAAUACGCUG